GAUGAACGCUGGCGGCGUGCCUAAUACAUGCAAGUCGAGCGAACGGACGAGAAGCUUGCUUCUCUGAUGUUAGCGGCGGACGGGUGAGUAACACGUGGAUAACCUACCUAUAAGACUGGGAUAACUUCGGGAAACCGGAGCUAAUACCGGAUAAUAUUUUGAACCGCAUGGUUCAAAAGUGAAAGACGGUCUUGCUGUCACUUAUAGAUGGAUCCGCGCUGCAUUAGCUAGUUGGUAAGGUAACGGCUUACCAAGGCAACGAUGCAUAGCCGACCUGAGAGGGUGAUCGGCCACACUGGAACUGAGACACGGUCCAGACUCCUACGGGAGGCAGCAGUAGGGAAUCUUCCGCAAUGGGCGAAAGCCUGACGGAGCAACGCCGCGUGAGUGAUGAAGGUCUUCGGAUCGUAAAACUCUGUUAUUAGGGAAGAACAUAUGUGUAAGUAACUGUGCACAUCUUGACGGUACCUAAUCAGAAAGCCACGGCUAACUACGUGCCAGCAGCCGCGGUAAUACGUAGGUGGCAAGCGUUAUCCGGAAUUAUUGGGGGUAAGCGCGCGUAGGCGGUUUUUUAGUCUGAUGUGAAAGCCCACGGCUCAACCGUGGAGGGUCAUUGGAAACUGGAAAACUUGAGUGCAGAAGAGGAAAGUGGAAUUCCAUGUGUAGCGGUGAAAUGCGCAGAGAUAUGGAGGAACACCAGUGGCGAAGGCGACUUUCUGGUCUGUAACUGACGCUGAUGUGCGAAAGCGUGGGGAUCAAACAGGAUUAGAUACCCUGGUAGUCCACGCCGUAAACGAUGAGUGCUAAGUGUUAGGGGGUUUCCGCCCCUUAGUGCUGCAGCUAACGCAUUAAGCACUCCGCCUGGGGAGUACGACCGCAAGGUUGAAACUCAAAGGAAUUGACGGGGACCCGCACAAGCGGUGGAGCAUGUGGUUUAAUUCGAAGCAACGCGAAGAACCUUACCAAAUCUUGACAUCCUUUGACAACUCUAGAGAUAGAGCCUUCCCCUUCGGGGGACAAAGUGACAGGUGGUGCAUGGUUGUCGUCAGCUCGUGUCGUGAGAUGUUGGGUUAAGUCCCGCAACGAGCGCAACCCUUAAGCUUAGUUGCCAUCAUUAAGUUGGGCACUCUAAGUUGACUGCCGGUGACAAACCGGAGGAAGGUGGGGAUGACGUCAAAUCAUCAUGCCCCUUAUGAUUUGGGCUACACACGUGCUACAAUGGACAAUACAAAGGGCAGCGAAACCGCGAGGUCAAGCAAAUCCCAUAAAGUUGUUCUCAGUUCGGAUUGUAGUCUGCAACUCGACUACAUGAAGCUGGAAUCGCUAGUAAUCGUAGAUCAGCAUGCUACGGUGAAUACGUUCCCGGGUCU
rnacentral:rRNA from 1 species